GACGAACGCUGGCGGCGUGCCUAAUACAUGCAAGUCGAGCGGACGGAUGGGAGCUUGCUCCCAGACCGUCAGCGGCGGACGGGUGAGUAACACGUGGGCAACCUGCCUGUAAGACUGGGAUAACUCCGGGAAACCGGGGCUAAAACCGGAAAACUCUUUCCCUCCCAUGAGGGAAAGCUGAAAGAUGGCAUCUCGCUAUCACUUACAGAUGGGCCCGCGGCGCAUUAGCUAGUUGGUGAGGUAACGGCUCACCAAGGCGACGAUGCGUAGCCGACCUGAGGGAGUGAUCGGCCACACUGGGACUGAGACACGGCCAAGACGCCUACGGGAGGCAGCAGUAGGGAAUCUGCCGCAACGGACGAAAGUCUGACGGAGUAACGCCGCGUGAGUGAUGAAGGUUUUCGGAGCGUAAAACUCUGUUGUCAGGGAAGAACAAGUACCGGAGUAACUGCCGGGACCUUGACGGUACCUGAUCAGAAAGCCACGGCUAACUACGUG
rnacentral:rRNA from 1 species